UUCCGGUUGAUCCUGCCGGACCUGACUGCUAUCGGAUUGAUACUAAGCCAUGCGAGUCAUUGUAGCAAUACAAGGCAGACGGCUCAGUAACGCGUAGUCAAUCUACCCUAUGGACGGGAAUAACCUCGGGAAACUGAGAAUAAUGCCCGAUAGAACAUUAUGCCUGGAAUGGUUUAUGUUUCAAAUGAUUUAUCGCCAUAGGAUGGGACUGCGGCCUAUCAGUUUGUUGGUGAGGUAAUGGCCCACCAAGACUAUUACAGGUACGGGCUCUGAGAGGAGUAGCCCGGAGAUGGGUACUGAGACACGGACCCAGGCCCUAUGGGGCGCAGCAGGCGAGAAAACUUUGCAAUGUGCGAAAGCACGACAAGGUUAAUCCGAGUGGUUUCUGCUAAAGAAACCUUUUGUCGGUCCUAGAAACACUAACGAAUAAGGGGUGGGCAAGUUCUGGUGUCAGCCGCCGCGGUAAAACCAGCACCUCAAGUGGUCAGGAUGAUUAUUGGGCCUAAAGCAUCCGUAGCUCGUUCUGUAAGUUUUCGGUUAAAUCCAUGCGCUUAACGUAUGGGCUGCCGGGAAUACUGCAUAACUAGGAAGUGGGAGAGGUAGACGGUACUCGGGAGGAAGGGGUAAAAUCCUUUGAUCUCUUGAUGACCACCUGUGGCGAAGGCGGUCUACCAGAACACGUUCGACGGUGAGGGAUGAAAGCUGGGGGAGCAAACCGGAUUAGAUACCCGGGUAGUCCCAGCUGUAAACUAUGCAAACUCAGUGAUGCAUUGGCUUAUGGCCAAUGCAGUGCUGCAGGGAAGCCGUUAAGUUUGCCGCCUGGGAAGUACGUACGCAAGUAUGAAACUUAAAGGAAUUGGCGGGGGAGCACCACAA
rnacentral:rRNA from 2 species